rnacentral:rRNA from 1 species
CAGUCGCCGCGGUAAUACGUAGGGUCCGAGCGUUGUCCGGAAUUACUGGGCGUAAAGAGCUCGUAGGUGGUUUGUCGCGUUGUUCGUGAAAACUCACAACUCAAUUGUGGGCGUGCGGGCGAUACGGGCAGACUGGAGUACUGCAGGGGAGACUGGAAUUCCUGGUGUAGCGGUGGAAUGCGCAGAUAUCAGGAGGAACACCGGUGGCGAAGGCGGGUCUCUGGGCAGUAACUGACGCUGAGGAGCGAAAGCGUGGGGAGCGAACAGGAUUAGAUACCCCGGUAGUCCCUGUCUCUUAUAC